CCCUUAGUAACUGCGAGUGAAGAGGGAAGAGCUCAAAUUUGAAAUCUGUCAGUGUUUCACUGUCCGAGUUGUAAUCUAGAGAAGUGCUGCCCAUGCUGGACCAUGUACAAGUCUCCUGGAAUGGAGCAUCAUAGAGGGUGAGAAUCCUGUCUUUGACAUGGACUGCCAGUGUAUUUGUGGUGUGCUCUCAAAGAGUCGAGUUGUUUGGGAAUGCAGCUCUAAAUGGGUGGUAAACUCCAUCUAAAGCUAAAUAUUGGCGAGAGACCGAUAGUGAACAAGUACCGUGAGGGAAAGAUGAAAAGAACUUUGGAAAGAGAGUUAAACAGUAUGUGAAAUUGUUGAAAGAGAAACACUUAAAGUCAGUCAUGUUGGCCAGGGAUCAGCUCAGCUUUUCAUUGCUGGGUGUACUUCCUGAUCUGACAGGUCAACAUUAGUUUUGACUGCUGGAGAAGGAUAGAAGGAAUGUGGCACCUUUGGGUGUGUUAUAGCUUUCUGUCAAAUGCGGCAGUUGAGACUGAGGAAGGCAGCAUGCCGCAAGGCCGGGUUUUAACCACGUUCAUGCUGAGGAUGUUGGCAAUAAUGGCUUUAAUUGACCCGUCUUGAAACACGGACCAAGGAGUCUAACAUGCCUGCAAGUGUUUGGGUGCAUUUAAACCCUUGCGCGGAAUGAAAGUGAAAGGUUGAGAUCCCUGUCAUUGGGGAGCAUUGAUGCCCGGACCUGAGCUUUUUAGCAAAGGAUCUGCGGUAGAGCAUGCAUGUUAGGACCCGAAAGAUGGUGAACUAUGCCUGAAUAGGGUGAAGUCAGAGGAAACUCUGGUGGAGGCUCGUAGCGAUUCUGACGUGCAAAUCGAUCGUCAAAUUUGGGUAUAGGGGCGAAAGACUAAUCGAACCAUCUAGUAGCUGGUUCCUGCCGAAGUUUCCCUCAGGAUAGCAGAAGCUCAUGUCAGAUUUAUGUGGUAAAGCGAAUGAUUAGAGGCCUUGGGGUUGAAACAACCUUAACCUAUUCUCAAACUUUAAAUAUGUAAGAACGGGCUGUCACUUGACUGGACUG
rnacentral:rRNA from 1 species